GAAAUGCGAUACGUAAUGUGAAUUGCAGAAUUCAGUGAAUCAUCGAAUCUUUGAACGCAACUUGCGCUCCUUGGUAUUCCAUGGAGCAUGCCUGUUUGAGUGUCACGUAAACCCUCACCCUUGCAAUGUAAUAGUUGUCUUGUGGUGGAUUUGGAUUGUGCCGUAAUUGGCUCAUCCUGAAAUGCAUUAGCUUGCGCUUUUUACAGUGCUCGGCAUGGUGUGAUAAUUAUCUUCACCGUCGCCUUAGGCCUGUUCUAUAUGUGUAGCUUCUAAUCGUCCCUUGUGGACAACUUACUUAACACUUUGGCCUCAAAUCAGGUAGGACUACCCGCUGAACUUAA
rnacentral:misc_RNA from 1 species